UACGAAGGGAGCUAGCGUUGUUCGGAAUCACUGGGCGUAAAGCGCACGUAGGCGGAUUUGCCAGUCAGGGGUGAAAUCCCGGGGCUCAACCCCGGAACGGCAUCCCGAUACGGGGCGGCUCGAGACCGAGAGAGGUGAGUGGAAUACCCAGUGUAGAGGUGAAAUUCGUAGAUAUUGGGUGGAACACCGGUGGCGAAAGCGGCUCACUGGCUCGGUUCUGACGCUGAGGCGCGAAAGCGUGGGGAGCAAACAGG
rnacentral:rRNA from 1 species